GCGAAAUAGCUCAUUCUUCCUAUUCCUCAUUAUGUGGUCAUGUGAAAAAAAAAACCCUAACAAAACCUCGAUUGCAUUGUUCAGCUAGACACUUAUUUGAUAAAGAUAACACAUUAUUAUUAUUAUUAUUAUUAUUAUUAUUAUUAUUAUUAUUAUUAUUAAUUCCUCCUCCUCUUCUUUAGGAAUUGGAAAAGCCUUUUGAAUUUCAAAUAUCGGGGAGACGAUCCAGCCUUUAAAAUCACAUUGGUUUCCAAUCGCAGAGAAAGAAAACGCGUGUCAGACGGAAUGAAGAGAAACAUCGGCUGGAAGGAGAGGCGAAAAAGCGAGGCUCCGGCAAAGUGGAGAAAAAUCCCUUUCCGAAAGGGUUUUGAGAAGAGCUUCUCAGAAUUGGUGCUGCACCAAACUACAAAUCCCUGAGUCUGCAAGACUUGAGAAGAGCUACUGAUGACAGGGCUACCUGGAAGUUCCUCAUUCGUAAGUUUAUCCAUCUAAUACAGUUGUCUACUUCUGACACAAUACUAUUGGAUAUUCAGAAGGGGGGCAGAAAGGUGCUGUUCUUUUUCUGUUGUCCUUUCCUGAGCUUAUCUUCACAGGUAUACUAUAUGGGUUCCAUCUACAUCUUGGAAAAGUGACACACCUUGAUGACAAGUCCCAGCACACCUCUUCUAGAAUGAACAUUGACUGGUGAAAUCUGGAAGACGUAGCUCAAAAGAUAACCCUUCCAAGCUAUAGGAAUAUUAAGAUGCUGUGAUUAAUAACCACUGCUAGACCCGACCUCUAGAAAUGUAUUUAAUACAUUUAAAGAACUUUAAA
rnacentral:lncRNA from 1 species